rnacentral:tmRNA from 1 species
GGGCGCAAUGGUUUCGACGGGGACCGGACGGCACCGUAAGCGGAUAGCGGCGCACAACCGCUUUAAAAUGUGCAAUUUAAAAUUAAACGCUAACAAUAAUAAAUUAGCUUACGCUGCUUAAUUGCGGCGUCAUCCGAGUGCGAGGGACCACGGGCGCAGGAGGGUGUCACAUUCAGUGGUGAACGGACACCGCAAAGCUUUGCGCGGCUGUCUGCAAUAUGAACCUACCGAAAAACGCAGUUUGCUUUAUGACGGCGUUUGGAGGGAAUGUAAAUAUAAAGCUAUAUCCGUAGAAAGCGAUGCAACAAAGUUUUCGGACAGGGGUUCAACUCCCCUCGCCUACACC